rnacentral:lncRNA from 1 species
CAACAUGCACAUCAUCAUUAUCUAAACUUUCAUUGUCCACCAUUAGAGGAGAAGCCAUCCUUUAAAGUAAAAAGAAAACAACAAACGACAAUUCAAAUAAAUGAAUUCAAUAUAAAUUAACCUUUUACAAACAUCAAACCAUAUUAAACAAAAGUAAUAAUAAUAUGGGACCACAAGAACCUUUAUAAUAUAACAACUUCAACUAGAUUGCUAUAUAUAAUAUAAUAAUAUUUAACAAAUAUCAAUUCUAUGGAAAGAGCACAAAGUUGUGAACACUAAAAACAAAAAUACCAAAUUAUGAAUGUUAACUUAUGGUGUGGAGGCUGAAAAGUGAGAAUUUUGUGGAUGAAUUGCUAGCAGAGGCGUAGUGGGCAAGUCGUGGGUGGCUGCUUGGGAACUUUUGUGGCGGAGUGAAAUGUUUUGUGGUGAGGGCAAGGGGGGUUGGGCGGUCAACACUUAGGGUGCAAUGUUAAUUUAGGAAAUUGGCUGAGUUUUGAAGGGUAACUAUUGCUAUAAAUUAUUAAUUUUAAUUGUGACUUUUUCACUUUCUAUUUUAAAUUAUAAUAUUUAUGGGACAUACAAGACAUGACGAGAUUUUACAAUUGGUCCUCCUCCCGUCCCAUAAAUAAAAGCGAAAUUUAUUUUUAUCCUUGUCUCAUCCCACUUUAAUUUGGGAUGUAAAAAUAUGUCCUAAUCCCAUCCUAAACGGGACGCGAUGCCGCAUGAUCCCCUCCCAACGAGAAAAAUUGACAUCCCUACACAUGGUUAUGUUGUAAACUUCUAGAAAUUGAUGUGUGGCCAUAAAAUUAUAAAGAGUUUGUCAAAAGAUCUCUUGACGAAAUUUCUCAUUAUAAUCAGACUUGGAAUUACAUCUUGAACUUAUUUGGACUCAAUUUGGACCAAGUAAACUAAAUAUUGACUCUUAAUUUUUAUAAAUUUUAGUUAUUUAAUUUUUAUAUUUAUUUUAUUUUAUAUUAUUAUGUUAUUAUUUUACAUUGUUGGUUUGACCACCUGAAUGGUUAUUUAUUUUUCAAUUUUUUACCAUUAUUUUUUAUUAUUUCACAUUUAUUUUAUGCUUUAUUUUUAUAUUGUUAAUUUUGAAAUGCAAGUUAGGCAACCCAACAUGGGGGUGAAUUGAGUUUUUAAAACUUAAGUUAAACAAAACACACAACAAUUCAAUCUAUUUCCUUAAUGAAAUAAAAAAAUAAUUAAUUUAAUAAAGUAUAAUAAUAAAAGAGUAAGGAAAUAAAAAGCAAACAUAAUGAUUUUUACGUGGUUCGGCAAUUCCCGCCUACGUCCACUCCUCUAAGCUCACCCGGCUUGAGAAUUUCACUAUCCAAGCCUCCCAAGACUUCAAAAACACUUACAAUUGACUUCACAUAUGUCAAUCAACCUUUACACCAAAGAGAUUAUCCCCAAUCUCUUAACUCAAGUUUAUCCAACACUUACAAUCACUCAACAUAAAGAUUACAAAUGUUUUUUUCUCUCACACAAAAUAUAUGAUUACAAAUCAAUGUUCAAUGUGUGAAUAAAUGAAUCAAGAACGAAUUUAAAGCUCAAUGAAUAUUUUAUUCUCACUUACAAGCUUAAUGAUAAUGUUGUGAUCCACCUUUGUUUAAAUUUGAACGAGUUUAUUUAUAGUUGGAGCUGAAAAAUAGUUGUUAUAAACUUUCUGCGCAAAAUCAGAUCGCUGUUAACGGUUUAUCGGUUAACCGUUUUGACAAGUCAAUAUGACCAUUGGGUUGAAUUUCAAAUUGUCAGAUCACCGUUUUCAAGAUGUCGGAUCGCGUUAGUGUCUAUAGGCUAAUCUUCAAUUCUGUUCGAUGUCAACUAGUUGUUAUCAAGAUUUCGGUUAGUUGUUUGCUACAGUGACUGUUACAGUGAACUCUUUUCUAAAAUUAUAAUUUUACCCCAAAACAUUCUAUAACUACACUAUGGCCCAAAACACUAUGAAACUUUUCAAAUAAGUCCUACAGAAUUCCAAGUAAUACUUGUUGAUUUCAAAGUUUUCAAAACUCUUUCAAUUAGACCAUAAACUUGAAAAACAACCAAUUUCAUAAAAUUAUUUUUCCAUUAAAUAUAAAACCUUUAUAAUGUGAAAAUAAUGAUUUAUUUAAAAUAUAUAAAAAAAUAAUUUGAGCUUUUAGAAACUUAAUCAUUCUUAAUUUUGUUUGUUAUCAUCAAAAUCAACAUUAUGAAUACAUAAAUGUUAACAAAUUUAUAUGGUUGGUUCAACUGCCUGAAUUGUUAUUUAACUUUAAUUAUUUUUUUCGCAUUUUAUUUUUUUCCCUUGUACACUUAUAUUAUUUGCAUAUUUAAUUUUCAUUUUUUAUGCAAUUUUUAUUUAGUUCUUGUAUUACCUAUUUGUUUGAAUAUUACUUUUGUGACAUAAUCAUUGCAUGAGACAUUGGUCUCAAACUUCAAGUAGCAGAUUAAUUCAUAGAUCUCAAUCACCACCACCAAUCAUGGAUGAGAUCCAAGAAGAAAACUUUUUGGGUGAACUUAAUCCUCAAAUAGAUCAAGGAGACAAUCAUUCUCAACAUAAUGAUUGGAUUCAUGUAGUCUCUUAAAGUUCUUGGUUGAUUAUGAACACGUGCAUUAUUUUGAGAAUGAUUGUCUUCCUGAUCUAUUUGAGGAUAAAGUUCUUCCAAAAAGUUUAAAAUCCAUGAUAGGUGGCGGUAAUUGAGAUCUACGAAUUAAUCUGCUACUUGAAGUUUGAGACCAACGUCUCAUGCAAUGUUUAUGUGAUGAAGGUAAUAUUCAAACAAAUAAGUAAUGCAAGAACUAAAUAAAAAUUGCACAACAAAAAAAAAAUUAAAUAUGCAAAUAAAAUAAGUGUACAAGGGAAAAAAUUAAAUGCGAAAAAAAUAAUUAAACUAAAAAUUAAAGUUAAAUAACAAUUCAGGCAGUUGAACCAAUCAUAUAAAUUAACA